rnacentral:rRNA from 1 species
AUUGAACGCUGGCGGCAGGCUUAACACAUGCAAGUCGAGCGGGGGAGGUUGCUUCGGUAACUGACCUAGCGGCGGACGGGUGAGUAAUGCUUAGGAAUCUGCCUAUUAGUGGGGGACAACAUUCCGAAAGGGAUGCUAAUACCGCAUACGCCCUACGGGGGAAAGCUGGGGAUCUUCGGACCUUGCGCUAAUAGAUGAGCCUAAAUCGGAUUAGCUAGUUGGUGGGGUAAAGGCCUACCAAGGCGACGAUCUGUAGCGGGUCUGAGAGGAUGAUCCGCCACACUGGGACUGAGACACGGCCCAGACUCCUACGGGAGGCAGCAGUGGGGAAUUUUGGACAAUGGACGCAAGUCUGAUCCAGCCAUGCCGCGUGCGGGAAGAAGGCCUUCGGGUUGUAAACCGCUUUUGUCAGGGAAGAAACGCUCUGGGUUAAUACUUCGGGGUAAUGACGGUACCUGAAGAAUAAGCACCGGCUAACUACGUGCCAGCCGCCGCCGUAAGAC